UCUCUUAUUACAUUCCACAAAGUGCACGGAGGAGGAUAGGAGAAUGGUUUGGGCGACUCAGGGGUAUUUUCCAGCCUUCGCUGUUGGAACCUGCGGAUUCCAUCUUGCCUGGAUUAGCUAUGACACACAGCUGUGACUGACUGCCCCGAGUGAUGCGUGUGUUACCCACAGCUUCAGGUAGGAGUCAGCCUGACUCAGGCCUUGGCAGGCGCUGGGAGCUCUCUGCUCCUUUCUGUGCAGCGCUUGGCAAUUGGGUGGCCGUGCCAGGAGAGAUACACCAUCUGAGAACAUUAGCAGAGCUGUCACUCCUCAUGGCUCCGUGUUGCUGGAAGAUGGCGUCGUCACCCCUGAUCAAAACCACCUGCCGCUCCUCCAGGAGGCAUCUCAGGUGAAGAAAGAGCAUGCCAGGCCUGGUGGCAUAGGCCUGUAAUCCCACCACUAGGAAGAACAAGGAAAUGGACAGUUCAAGGCCAGCCUGAGGUGCUUAGAGUGCUCCUGUUUCAAAAAGCUUAAGACCUACCCACCAACCAAACAACCUACUAACCAACCUAUCAGUCAACCAACCAACCAACCAACCAACCAACCAACCAGCCAACCAAGGAAGGGAGAGAUGGAAUUUGAGAGACAGCAACAGCUGCUACUAGAGAUCUUCAUGCUGAGCAGCAAACUCAAGACUCAGGAAACAUCAUGGAAAAGGAUGCAGAUAACAUCAGAGCUGGAAGAUAGACAGAGCUGUUGCACACAUGAACUCAUGACUACACAAGACCUAUACAAAAUCAAACAAUUUGAAACUUCCAUCAUGGUGGGUGGAAGGGAUCCACAGACCCUUCCUAUAGCUGAGGAGCUACAGGCAGUUGAUGGCUAUUGGGGGAAGGUAGAGUGACUUUUCUUUAGGAAUGUGCACACUGGUAUGGUCCCCACACCUUAGUCAAUGACCUCACUCCCACAUGCAUAAAAGAAGCAUGAAUUAGACUUAGUGGAUUAUUUAAGAAAAUAUAAAGGGCCAGAGAGAUGGCCCACUGGUUAAGAGUGCUUAUUUUUCUUGUAGAGUACUAGAGUUCAAAUCCCAGCACCCAUGGCAGGCAGCUCACACCCACUUACUUAACACCAGCUUAAGGGGAUCCAGUUCCCUGUUCUGGCCUCUGUGGGCAUCCUAGGCAU